GCGGCGCGGCGCCUUUAAGGGCGGCGCGUGAGCUGGCUGCGGCCGGCUCGGGGCGCCGCGAUUGGCUGCGCGCCGGGCAGGCGAGCCGGGGGCGGGCGCCGCCAUUCACAAAGUUGCGAGCAGCGCUUUCUCCCUUAAAGGGGCCGCCGCAGCCGGGGGAAGCACCGCUGGGGCUGGGCGGGCGCCGGCCUCCCUCGCCUGGGGGGCGCCUCUGGGCUCUGCUGUGUCCCCAAGGACAUCCCUCCCGUGCAUCCCGCCCUGGGACUUGGCCUGCCACGCGCUGUCCCUUGAAGGGUCUCGGCCAUCUUGACCCACAGUGGUCCCGCGGCCGCGGAUGAACGGGAGCCGGACGCAGCUGGAGCCAACGCGUUAUCCCGGGGCGCUCGGGGGUGGACGAGCCCCCCGGCAGGACCUGGCGUGAGAGCGAGGGAGCGACAGCCGGGGCUGAGAUGCCGCAACGCCAGAGGAAGCCUAGCUCCGCGCCGCCCUCGGGCCGUGGAAAUAGCACCGUCUCCUGGGAUUUCUUGACGCUUUGCUGAAAUUAGCACCUGUAAAAAGAGCAGCUGCCAAAGCUGAAUUUAAAUAAGCCGGGCGGGCUGCUGGUAGGGAGAGGAGGGGAGCAGUGGAUGCUCGGUUGCCUCGAAAUGCCCCCCUUGGUGAAGGCACCUGUCUGGGAAUCAGCGCCUUGAGCUGUGCUCGAUGCCCAGCUAACUGGGCAACAAGCCCACAUCUGCCUGGGGGGGGCCAGACCCUGCGCCUGCCCCCCCGGGCCCAGGCCGGGACGUACCAGCACCGCUCCCCGUAGCUGGAGAUACCGGUAUUUGCAGGAGAAGCCUCCAGUGGUGCAAGAUGCAGCUGCGUGUGGCCAGCCGGCACCGGCCUCCCGUCGAGCACAGCCAGUCUUCUCCACGCGAUAGUGUGUCUCAAGCCACUCACGGUGUUAGGGAGCAUCGCAAACAGGCAACAGCAACCGGGGUGAUUCCCUUUUAAUUGGGGCAGCAGACGACACACGCAGCUCACCGUAAACAAGUGGGAAUUAAACGGCUCUUGCAGCAGGGACAGUGCAGUGGAGCAAAAAGGGGAGAUGGAGGUUUUCAGGAAGGGAACCAGGAGCUGGUAGGAAGCUCGGAUGAAAUCCAUAAGAGCUGCAGCAGAUGAGGCAUGAGGACAGGAGCCCUCUGUUUGCAGGUGGUGGAUGGACACUAACAAGAAAGAGUUGGGAGAAGAAACAGAAGAUUUAGAUCGUGGAGCCCUCCCGAGGCUGUGUGCUGGCAAGGGAAGGGGGGCGAAGGCAGUGAUGCUGCACUCGGGGGCUGUCUGUGGGCUCCCAGAGCACCUUCCUGGUGGGGGACACGCUCCAGUCUGCCGCGGAGAAAAAAGAUAAAACGCUUCUCUUAAUUGUUCAUUCAGCUCCUCAUUAAAGCAUUUUUCCCUC